UACGAAGGGGUGCAAACGUUGUCUCGGGAAUUAUUGGGCGUAAAGCGCACGUAGGCGGCUCUGUAAAGUCGGAUGUGAAAUCCCUCGGCUUAACCGAGGACGUGCAUCCGAAACUGCGGAGCUCGAGUAUGGAAGAGGGUCGCAAGAAUUCCCGGUGUAGAGGUGAAAUUCGUAGAUAUCGGGAGGAAUACCAGUGGCGAAGGCGGCGACCUGGGCCAAUACGUGACGCUGAGGUGGCGAAAGCGAUGGGGAGCCAAAGCAGGG
rnacentral:rRNA from 1 species